CCUGGGAACUGCGUUNUGAACUGGGUGACUAGAGUGUGUCAGAGGGAGGUAGAAUUCCACGUGUAGCAGUGAAAUGCGUAGAGAUGUGGAGGAAUACCGAUGGCGAAGGCAGCCUCCUGGGAUAACACUGACGUUCAUGCCCGAAAGCGUGGGUAGCAAACAGGAUUAGAUACCCUGGUAGUCCACGCCCUAAACGAUGUCGAUUAGCUGUUGGGCAGCAUGACUGCUUAGUAGCGAAGCUAACGCGUGGAAUCGACCGCCUGGGGAGUACGGUCGCAAGAUUAAAACUCAAAGGAAUUGACGGGGACCCGCACAAGCGGUGGAUGAUGUGGAUUAAUUCGAUGCAACGCGAAGAACCUUACCUGGUCUUGACAUGUGCGGAACCCUCCAGAGACGGAGGGGUGCCUUCGGGAGCCGUAACACAGGUGCUGCAUGGCUGUCGUCAGCUCGUGUCGUGAGAUGUUGGGUUAAGUCCCGCAACGAGCGCAACCCUUGUCAUUAGUUGCCAUCAUUAAGUUGGGCACUCUAAUGAGACUGCCGGUGACAAGCCGGAGGAAGGUGGGGAUGACGUCAAGUCCUCAUGGCCCUUAUGACCAGGGCUUCACACGUCAUACAAUGGUCGGUACAGAGGGUAGCCAAGCCGCGAGGUGGAGCCAAUCUCACAAAACCGAUCGUAGUCCGGAUUGCACUCUGCAACUCGAGUGCAUGAAGUCGGAAUCGCUAGUAAUCGCAGGUCAGCAUACUGCGGUGAAUACGUUCCCGGGUCUUGUACACACCGCCCGUCACACCAUGGGAGUGGGGGAUACCAGAAGUAGGU
rnacentral:rRNA from 1 species